UACGGGGGGGGCGGGCGUUGUUCGGAAUUACUGGGCGUAAAGGGUUUGUAGGUGGCCUGCUAAGUCAGACGUGAAAUCCCUCAGCUUAACUGGGGAACUGCGUCUGGUACUGGCGGGCUUGAGGACAGGAGAGGAACGCGGAAUUCCAGGUGUAGCGGUGAAAUGCGUAGAUAUCUGGAGGAACACCGGUGGCGAAGGCGGCGUUCUGGACUGUUUCUGACACUGAAAAACGAAAGCCAGGGGAGCAAACGGG
rnacentral:rRNA from 1 species